UACAGAGGGUGCAAACGUUGUUCGGAAUCACUGGGCAUAAAGCGUACGUAGGCGGCGUCGUAAGUGUCGGAUGAAAUCCCACGGCUUACCCGUGGAACGGUCCGGCAUACUGCGGUGCUAGAGGAUGGUAGAGGAGAGCGGAACUCUUGGUGGAGCGGUGAAAUGCGUAGAUAUCUGGAGGAACACCGGUGGCGAAGGCGGCAUCCUGGACCAAUACUGACACUGAGGAGCGAAAGCCAGGGGAGCAAACGGG
rnacentral:rRNA from 1 species